rnacentral:rRNA from 1 species
AACGAACGCUGGCGGCAUGCCUAACACAUGCAAGUCGAACGAGACCUUCGGGUCUAGUGGCGCACGGGUGCGUAACGCGUGGGAACCUGCACUUAGGUUCGGAAUAACUCCCCGAAAGGGGUGCUAAUACCGGAUAAUGUCUUCGGACCAAAGAUUUAUCGCCUUUGGAUGGGCCCGCGUUGGAUUAGCUAGUUGGUAGGGUAAAAGACUACCAAGGCGACGAUCCAUAGCUGGUCUGAGAGGCUGAUCAGCCACACUGGGACUGAGACGCGGCCCAGACUCCUACGGGAGGGAGCAGUGGGGAAUAUUGGACAAUGGGCGAAAGCCUGAUCCAGCAAUGCCGCGUGAGUGAUGAAGGCCUUAGGGUUGUAAAGCUCUUUUACCCGGGAUGAUAAUGACAGUACCGGGAGAAUAAGCUCCGGCUAACUCCGUG